CUACAUUUGGUUAAACUGAACAAAGGAAGAAUGAUAAACAAACAGGCAAAGAAAUAGGGAAGAAAGAUGUGUCAACAAGUUGUUUGGUGUUUUUUUUUUUAAAAUUUUUCAAACUCUCCAAUCAUGUAUCGACAUGUGUGCAGUUUUAGCCAUGUUUUUCACGCUGUUUCUGUAACAUCUUUGCAAAGGAAGUACUUUCUGAUUCGGUCGGUUUGAAACGUUACCGGGAAAAGGUGAAUUCACUUGUUUGUAAAACGUUUCUCGAACUUUGGACGACUUCAUAUGGGAUGCCACUGACUGCUGCUGCAGGGCUCAUUCAGAAAGAUAUGACAAUGUAUGUACAUGUUUUUCAUUAACACGUGUCAAAGCACUCUUGGUGAAACAUGCCUGAAGUACUAAUUUUUAGGUUUAAUAAAGAUGUAGGCCUUAGCUGCUUUCCAGAUAGCCUUGGAAUAACAAUCCAUGUUUUUGGUCAAGCUGCACGUUUAGUGGCACCAAAAAGGAUAAUAUCCUCUUACAAUUUUUAGGAUUAAUGCAUGAUUUAAAUGAUUAUUAAGUGACACACGACUAUGUCUUGCAAUCAGGUUAAUUAUUUUAAGGUGGUUCAUCAUGCGGUGUGUUGUGUUCAUUAAAUGAGAAGUUUGUUGUGCAAGUUUUAAAUGUCAAAAAUGGAUGGAUAAACAUUUUUAAUCAUGGCCUCUAAUUCUCCAAGGUUGGGAUACUAAUCUUUGCUACCUUAUCAGAAUUCUUGUGUUCGGUGGGAACUUCAUCCUCUCUCCUAUUGUGUGAAUCACACACCUUUACUUAUCAUUAGUUUAGUUUACUUUCUUUUGAAACUGGAGUAAGUUUCUACCUUAAGAACUGAUCUAUCUCUAAUAUCAUGUCGAUAUAAUGCAGGUGUGGAGAGGUCAAGGAUCAAGGAAAUGAAAGCAUGGACACCAUGAUGGUGUAAAGAUAGACUUUACCAUGUAAAUUCUUGGUGCUCAGGAUCUUUUGUUUAUUUGUAUGUUUCAAAGCAAAUUUCAAACAACUUCUCUUUCUUACAAGGCAUAACAACUAUGCUAAGAGCAAAAGUUUUCAAGCAGUAAA
rnacentral:lncRNA from 1 species